CCAGCAUUUCCCAAUUCCCAGAAUUCCCAAAUUCCCCAGUUCCCGGUGUUCCCAAUUCCCGGCGUUCCUGGUGUUCCCCAUUCCCGGUGUUCCCAAAUUCCCAGCAUUUCCCAAUUCCCAGAAUUCCCAAAUUCUCCAGUUCCCGGUGUUCCGAAUUCCCGGCGUUCCCGGGUUCCUGGUGUUCCCAAUUCCCGGAGUUCCCAAAUUCCCAGCAUUUCCAAUUCCCAGAAUUCCCCAAAUUCCCCAGUUCCCGUGUGUUCCCAAUUCCCGGCGUUCCUGGGUUCCUGGUGUUCCCAGUUCCCAGCGUUCCCAAUUCCCGGAAUUCCCAAAUUCCC